CGUCACCAUUUUUGAACAGUUUCAAAAGCAACAAUGGUUCGUCAUCACGUGGCUCUUCUGGCACUCUUCGUUCUCCUGCUGCUUUUUGUUGCAGAGAAUGAGGCUAUGCUUUGCCAAGGGUUUCAGCACAGUGUCUGUGCCUCUGAGUGUGCCUCUAAUGAAGUCACUAUACAGGGUUCUGGAUUCUGCCCUGAUACCCAAAAAUGUUGUUUAACCAGGGACAUUUAGCCACUUCAAAAUACCCACCCCGAAAUCAGAUGAUUGGAUGGACGGAAGUCAAUGUUGUGGAGAAUUUGGCUCUUAUCUCUGCUGAAUUUAAAAUAUUGAAAAAAAAAUGUUUUCAAAAUGUCAGUGCAGCGUGUAUGGCUGGGGUGGAAUAAAAAUAUUUGCUUAAUA